AGAGACUUAGGUUAACACCAGACCCAGGGCCUUCAAAGCCCUAAGCGGGAGUGAAAACCUCCCAGUCCCUG
rnacentral:tRNA from 3 species